GACGAACGCUGGCGGCGUGCCUAAUACAUGCAAGUAGAACGCACAGUUUAUACCGUAGCUUGCUACACCAUAGACUGUGAGUUGCGAACGGGUGAGUAACGCGUAGGUAACCUGCCUGGUAGCGGGGGAUAACUAUUGGAAACGAUAGCUAAUACCGCAUAAUAUUGAUUAUUGCAUGAUAAUUGAUUGAAAGAUGCUAUUGCAUCACUACCAGAUGGACCUGCGUUGUAUUAGCUAGUAGGUGAGGUAACGGCUCACCUAGGCGACGAUACAUAGCCGACCUGAGAGGGUGAUCGGCCACACUGGGACUGAGACACGGCCCAGACUCCUACGGGAGGCAGCAGUAGGGAAUCUUCGGCAAUGGACGAAAGUCUGACCGAGCAACGCCGCGUGAGUGAAGAAGGUUUUCGGAUCGUAAAGCUCUGUUGUAAGAGAAGAACGGGUGUGAGAGUGGAAAGUUCACACUGUGACGGUAUCUUACCAGAAAGGGACGGCUAACUACGUGC
rnacentral:rRNA from 1 species